UUGUUAGAUUUCUGUCUCAUUGACAUUGUUAUUUUUGUUUUUAGAUUUCUGUCUCAUUGACAUUGUUAUUUUUGUUGUUAGAUUUCUGUCUCAUUGACAUUGUUAUUUUUGUAGUUUUAUUUCUGUCUCAUUGACAUUGUUAUUUUUGUUGUUAGAUUUCUGUCUCAUUGACAUUGUUAUUUUUGUUGUUAGAUUUCUGUCUCAUUGACAUUGUUAUUUUUGUUGUUAUUGUUUUGUCUCAUUGACAUUGUUAUUUUUAUUGUUAGAUUUCUGUCUCGUUGACAUUGUUAUUUUUGUAGUUGUAUUUCUGUCUCAUUGACAUUGUUAUUUUUGUAGUUGUAUUUCUGUCUCAUUGACAUUGUUAUUUUUGUUGUUUGAUUUCUGUCUCAUUGACAUUGUUAUUUUUGUAGUUGGAUUUCUGUCUCAUUGACAUUGUU
rnacentral:lncRNA from 1 species